GAGUUUGAUCGUGGCUCAGGAUGAACGCUGGCGGCGUGCCUAAUACAUGCAAGUCGAACGAACAGAUAAGGAGCUUGCUCCUUUGACGUUAGCGGCGGACGGGUGAGUAACACGUGGGUAACCUACCUAUAAGACUGGGAAUAACUCCGGGAAACCGGGGCUAAUGCCGGAUAACAUGUUGAACCGCAUGGUUCUACAGUGAAAGACGGUCUUGCUGUCACUUAUAGAUGGACCCGCGCCGUAUUAGCUAGUUGGUGGGGUAACGGCCUACCAAGGCGACGAUACGUAGCCGACCUGAGAGGGUGAUCGGCCACACUGGAACUGAGACACGGUCCAGACUCCUACGGGAGGCAGCAGUAGGGAAUCUUCCGCAAUGGGCGAAAGCCUGACGGAGCAACGCCGCGUGAGUGAUGAAGGUCUUCGGAUCGUAAAGCUCUGUUGUUAGGAAGAACAAAUGUGUAAGUAACUGUGCAUAUCUUGACGGUACCUAACCAGAAAGCCACGGCUAACGUACAUGCCAGCCG
rnacentral:rRNA from 1 species